rnacentral:rRNA from 1 species
AGCGGCGGACGGGUGAGUAAUGUCUGGGAAACUGCCUGAUGGAGGGGGAUACUACUGGAAACGGUAGCUAAUACCGCAUAACGUCGCAAGACCAAAGAGGGGGACCUUCGGGCCUCUUUGCCAUCAGAUGUGCCCAGAUGGGAUUAGCUAGUAGGUGGGGUAACGGCUCACCUAGGCGACGAUCCCUAGCUGGUCUGAGAGGAUGACCAGCCACACUGGAACUGAGACACGGUCCAGACUCCUACGGGAGGCACAGUGGGGGAAUNUUGGCCAAUGGGGCGCAAGCCUGAUGCAGCCAUGCCGCGUGUUUGAAGAAGGCCUUCGGGUUGUAAAGUACUUUCAGCGGGGAGGAAGGUGUUGUGGUUAAUAACCACAGCAAUUGACGUUACCCGCAGAAAAGCACCGGUAACUCCGUGCCAGCAGCCGCGGUAAAUACGGAGGGUGCAAGCGUUAAUCGGAAUUACUGGGCGUAAAGCGCACGCAGGCGGUCUGUCCAAGUCGGAUGUGAAAUCCCCGGGCUCAACCUUGGGAACUUGGACUCGAAACUUGGCAGGGCUAGAGUCUUGGUAAAAGGGGGGUAAAAUUCCCGGGUGUAACGGU